rnacentral:rRNA from 1 species
CGCGCAGGCGGUCGUCCAAGUCGCGUGUGAAAGCCCCCGGCUCAACUGGGGAGGGUCACGCGAUACUGGUCGACUCGAAGGCAGGAGAGGGUAGUGGAAUUCCCGGUGUAGUGGUGAAAUGCGUAGAUAUCGGGAGGAACACCAGUGGCGAAGGCGACUACCUGGCCUGUUCUUGACGCUGAGGCGCGAAAGCUAGGGGAGCAAACG